GUUGCAGACGAAAGUUGUUUUCCUUCUGUCUUGGUAAAAUUCUUUGCUGGCGUUUAAAAGUUCUAGAGAAAUCAAUUGAAUGAUUGCAAUGGAAUAGAUGUAAGCAGAGUGUAGAGAACAAAACGUACACUAGAGGGCAGGACAAGCAAAACAGAAUCGGGAAAAUCGGAGGAAGGGUAGCAAGAAUUCUGGCGACAGUUGGCCAUGUUAAUUUUCUUAUGGACAGCAUCAACCAGUGGUCUUUGUCUAUG